CCUCUUCCCCGGUUUUUAUUGGAAGCUGAGAGCGCUGCGAGGGGAAACAGCUCCCGUCCACGUUAGUUUAAAUGGUUAAAAUACGGGUUUGCACUUCAAAAGGGUCUCUGAGGAGUUCUGCCCUUUUUUCUCCACAUAGUCCUCUUCCAGCCCCCAGAACUCAGAAUUGUAAAACUGAGAGAAAAGAAACAAAAUAACAUCUCCGAGCAAGUAAUCUGUUCCAGAUUUUAGUACGCGAAGUAUGAUUCAUGCGUAUACCGAUACGGCGGGGAGGAGUGGGGAGCAUGGCGGCAGUUUCUGUGUAAAAGUAAGUUAAAACAUUAAAAAAACAAAGCGCCCGGAGGUUUCUCGGUGUUAGGGCGCCUCAGCGUGAAACCUGCUUCCCCCAAACCCACCCAGCCGAGCAAGGCUCGCCCUAACCAUAACUUCAGCGAGUGUUUCACCCAGGGCCGAGCAAUGGCAUCCCGGCCCUCUCCCUCCCCGCACAAACAGCUUGAGGGGGAGGGGCCUGCCGCUGCCCGGCGCCACACACUGCUCCGCCGCCCCACGGCCGGCUUGGCGGGCAAGAGCGAGCCGCCUGCCUUGGGCAGCGCAAUGCCGACCCGAGCGGCCAUCGCUCUGAAAACUUCAAACAAAUGAUCCACUUCCUCUUCUGUUUGCUUUAGAGUCGCAGGACCUAGACUUUGAGCUGGCGGCUGAUCUUUUUCCCCUCCUUCGGUCUUCAAGAACAGCCAAAAUAACCGAGAGGAACGCCCACAGGCUCCAGCUAUUCCAGAUUUCUGACUUUUUUUUUUUAAUAUAGAUAUUGUUAUUAUUUACUUAAGGAGAGCAGUCAGGUUCCUCGAAUUUCCUUCUCUUUCUAGUUUCUUCUUUUAUUUUCCUUGCUUUGGCCAGAAGUAACCAGGAGACCAGCCUAUUAUUUUCUGCAGUUGUUUACUCAUUCUGUAGAUGGUGCUUGUUCCCAGGGCUCUGAGCCUCUCUAUAAUUAAACCCAUUUUAAUUGUUAGGUUAGAAACGUCAUUUCAGGGGCUUUCCAAGAGUUACCGAGAAAGCCGGCUAAGAUAACUAUUUCUCUCCUUAGUCGCUCCCAGCCUGGUUUUCAACCCGGUCCCUCUCCAUUGGCGCAUGAAGGUGCAAGGCUCAGCAGAGGGCUCUGUGCGGGACAGCCCCCACCACUUUUGCAUUAUUCGCUUUCCCGUGUGCCUUUGUUUUGGAAACUUGGGGUUUAAGGUUGCGCAUUUCCACGGAUCAAGCAGCGAAAGCUGAAGCCGAGGAGGAAUUUUUUUCCAGUGAUUUAGCUUGGCAAACCCCGAUUCCAUGGUGGUCUGCUUUGCAUUGGCUGCGCACAUGCUCAGAUCAGGAAUUUAGCUACUCACCCCACCUCGUGGCUAAAAGUCAGAGCCCUCCGGGCCAGAGUGGGAAUUUGUGUGGGCAUGAAUUCACACUGAGCAGAGGAAUGAAAAAAUCGGAGCCUUGCACCUUCCACCAGAGACGUGCCAACACUUUGAAAGAUGCAACUGAACAAAGAUACGUAAAUGAAUAAAAUGAAAGUCAAUUAUUAAAGAAGAUUACUGAAAAUGUGAAUGAAUGCAGUGCCGUGCUCAUUAGCUUUCUCGUGUAGGUCAAUCUGUCCAGGCCCAGCAUGUUUCAGUUGGGAUGCUACAGCUGGAAUAAAUGUCUGGGGCUUUCCAAGCCCUUCCCAAAUCUGUCCUCAGUGCAGGAGCAGCUUCUGAAGCAUUCUUGUUCCCUGGUUCCAAUGCAAGCAGAUGCUAAACUUGUGUAAAAAUACAGGGGAGUAAGAUCCUUCAUCAGACCUGUGCACACAUUUAACAGAGGAAUUAAGAACCACUUUCCCAAAAGAGAGCUGAAAUGGGCUGGAAUGGCCAGAAAACAGGGAAGAACCAGGGCGCAGUGAAUGAAAUGAUAAAGGCAGGAGGUUCAAAGGAGUAUUUUUUCCAGUUGUGUGUGUGUAUAAAACUGUGGGCUCAUUGGCACAUGAUGCUGUGGAGGUCAAAAGUAUAAACAGGGUCAGAAAAGCAAUUCAACAAAUUUAUGGAGGAAAAGUCCCUGGAGGUUUACUAAAGGCAAAGGCAGACCUCCGCAGCAUGUUGCUGGACAAUGCACAGAAAAAGCAUCACUCGUUCCCCUGUUUUUAACUCUUAAGCAUUAACUGCUCUUGGAGAUAAGAGAAAGGCCACAACAGACCUUUGAUCUGACUCAGUUCAGUUAUUUUUACGUAGUUAGGGUCUACUUUUGUGCUUUAUACUCCACCUAAUCCUGAUGGGCUUGGAGGUGCACCUCACAAAUUUGGUUUGGGAUUAGCUGUGCAACAUCAGAUUGUUUGGGCCAGGCAGGAGGAGGUCGGUGGUGGGAAGUACAAAUCACGACAGUUUCAUCCCUUACCCACUGGGCACGGGUUCACACACUGGCUUCUGCUAAAGGCUGGAGAGCAGUCUCGUGGAGUGGCUGCAGUUUAACUCCCUGUCAGGGUAAUAAGAGGUUACUUUGAGAAGUGGGUAUAAACUGAACCCAAGUGCCAGUUCUGACACAAAUAUAUCUGGUGAUGUUACAGCUCCCAUAGCAACAGAAAGAGAUUGUUAUCUUAAGACACCUCCACUUGUCUUCACCUGGACUGAAGAGGUGCAGCAAUAGGAACCCUGCAGGUGUGCUUGUGUCAGAGUUACUGAACAAGAAUACGAGAGCAAAAAAGCCUGUUGUUGAAAACAAGGUGGAGGGUAGUGGCUUGGUUUGUUCCCCUUCCUACCACCCAAUUCCCAAAGUUUCAAGUUAGGAAAGGGAAGUGCUUUUGCUGAGAGCAACAUUUUCUCCAGUGAGUUUCAUAUGAGUUAGGCAUUUCGCUGCCCUGCUCCCAUGGCAAUCUUCAGAUAAAUAGACAUGCCUUUUCUGCAGUGGUAUUCUGAUGUACAGGGGCUGGGGCUGGAGGAAGGACAAACCUCCUGCCUUUAUUUCUGCUGGCAGUGUAAAGUGAGUCGAAGCUUUCUGCAGCCGCUAUUCUAUUUAUAUCCUUUGGGUCCAGUGCUAUUUUUGUUGGCUGUGCCCCUGGAGGUGGAGGUGUGGAAGUGCCUUUCUGCUCAUCUCCACAGGCGCGUGUAGAAUUUUCCUCCGACCCAGGCACCUCCUCGGACGCUGCGGCUUUUCAGGGGUGGUAGGCGGAUGUCAGUGUGGCCAUUCCCCGCCUGUUCCUAACUUUUUAAUCCUUCCUUUUGUUUGGGCCUUGCGCUCCGUCCAUGGAACCUCUCUGGGUAGCCACUGGGAGGUGUGAAUGGCUCGGGAUGGAAACCACAGCUUGUAGGUGCGCCCUCUGCCAGGCUUUUCUGGCACCGGAGGAAGCCCGGCCUCCGCCUGCUCCCCAGCGAAAGGGAUAUUACCGGCUGCUUCGUUAGGAAACAGACUCGCAGAGAUACAGGAAAGUGUGUAAGGUGGUGGGAAGCAACGGGAGUAAGAUUCCUGGCAGCGCGGGUUCUGGAGUUACUUCUGUCUUUGCAAAAAUAGCACUGCUCCAGGCAGCCUUCCUGAUAGGUGGAAUAGUUUCCCCCUGAGGAGAAACUGGUGGAAAUCCCCUCUCCUGAGACAUUUUUAACUAUGCCAGAAAAUGUACAAUGGGAGUGACUGAUUUAACUAGUGAGCUGACUGGGAUGAGCUAAUGGGUUUUUCCAUCUCUGGUGUCUAGUUCCAGGGAUUUCCAUGAAUUGCUGUCAGGACAGAAGAAGGCAAGAGAUUGCAACUGUGGGAUCUGCUGUUUCAGCUCCACUGACACGUCAUUCUCUCAGGACACCCAGUGACCUGGUUAAUCUAGUUCUUUGCUUCUGACUUCUCCUCGUAAAUGAUUUAUCAACUGGCAUGGAUCCCUGUUUGCUUAAGGAGGCGUGUGACGACCUCUAGCAGACCAGCUGCACAAAGCUACAGCCUGCAUUUGGCACCCAGCUGCUGGUCCCAGCUCGUGACCCUUGGCACAGGGAGCACAAGGACAGGGCUCCAGCAGAGCCCGGUGGCAAGGGCUGAGGCAGGGAACUGUGGGUAGUGUUUACAUGGCUCUGUGGAGAGCCCCGGUGACUAAGCCAUCAGCUUGUCAGCAAGGGUGCUUGCAGGUUUGCCUCAGCCUGUCCUGACCCCCACAACACAGAGUCCUGACUGGGCAGCCGGAUGCAGUGUUCACUGUAUACAGACUGUGGGGUACAGGUCACGGGAAGCAUCAGCUGUGCCAGAGCCAGCCUUGGGGUCCAUGUGCUCCAGAAGAAAAAAUAACGUGAACAUCUACCACCUUAUCCAUCCUCACAAAGUAGCAUCAGUGGCAAUGACACUGGUGUCAGCACCAGGUAGAGCUCUGGGGGUCUUCAUCAUGUGCACACGUAGGUCAAUAUAUGUGUCACCACACACAAAACACUGCAACUAAAAAGACGAUAGUGCAGAUCUAAACUCAAGCACUCACGCCAGAGAGGUGAGGGAUGAUCCUACAAGCCUUUGUAUGUGAGGCUAAAGGAGCGUGGAGAGAGAUCAGAUAUCACCAACUGGGCAUCCUCCUAAAAAACUGUCUAUGGGCAACUCCCUGCCUUCCCUCCAGGCCAGUUAUUGCUGCUUCCUGCUCUGAUUGUUUCAAAUCCAGUUAUCUUGAGUUAUGCCUGUUCCGGCAAAUACAGUGCAGCAGAGGGGAGGUCCCGUUCAUGUCGAUGUUGUAUGCAUGCCACAGAUCACAGAGAUUAGCACAGGAGGAAUAACCCAGAUGAUCUGCUUGAGGCAGGUAUUGGGAAGCUUACAACAGAGCUGUGUAACCAUUAGAAAUAUAAAAGUGUUUUAACAGAUGAAGAGCCAUGCUGAAUUUCUAGAUGGCUGGAGGCUGUUUCACAGGGGCAGUACACAGCAGAAAAGGAAGCUGAGGAAGCUCACUCCAGCACUGGCCCAGACAGCACUGUUUCCAGAAGCAUGGUGUCACACCACCCAAGGGCCACAUCAUCAGGCAGGGCUGGCUUAGACUGCGGCAAGGAACCUGCAGCCACAUGUAGGCAGAGGCAUGGGGUGUUUUUCUCUCACGUAAGGGUGGAUCUGGAGCAGCUUUCAGUUUCUUGGGACCUGAGAGGUGGUUUUGUUCAUAUCACAAGAGGACUGAAGGUGCAACUUCUCUUUCCUUUUCUGGGGGCACACCACAACCUUCCUUUCCUUGUGCCUCAACGGGAACUCUGUAUUCACGCAUCACAAGCCCCCACUCUACACAUUGUACAGCACACCAACAUCACAGAACAACCACCAGCUGGUGGUAUGUGUGAGUGGUAAUUCCCACCUGGCCAGGAACAGCUGUAAGUACCCUGUGGCUCAAAACCCCAAACUACGUCCCCAAGGAUGUAUUCAGUCUAGGCUGAGCCCACACACCCUGUGAUAUCCUAGUUGUAGUUGCAGGGCAGAGAGGCAGGACAGGGAAAGACAGGAAGGCUAGCAAGUUAUCCCAAAAUCAUAUUUCCAAGCUUUUAAUAUGGGUGGAUGUAUUUUAGGUAUAACCUUCAAUGUGAAUUCCCAAGUACUGAUAGAUUAUUUAUAGGUAACUCAGGGUUCAGGCUUAGCUUCAAGCCUGAUCUCAGUCAGAUCACACCACAGUCCUGCUCUGCAAACAGCAGAGAAUAGCCUGGUCCAUAUAGAAACUACGCCCUUAUCAGCAGCACAAGUACUCUUGGCUUUGCAAACCCAAAAACUUUUACUGAAGAUAGCACAGAUGUAGAGUGAUGCAAGUGCAAAAUUCCCCAAAAGCAUUCCCCCUGUCCCUAGGGAGCUGAAACAAGAGCCGAAUUUUCUCAUGGACUUCUUCUGUGGCAGAUGCACAGAUUUAGGAACAGAACAUUAAAAAAAGCACCCAGAAACUCUUUGGCAGAGCCAGGACUGAAACCUUUUUCCUCUCAUCUCCGGUCUCCCAGGUUGUGAGAGAGAUUGCUUCCAGGUGCCUGGCUUUGUUCUGGUCCUGGCAACAGAAGGCCAUUUUCUGGUCCAUUCUCUGUCUAUCCCAAAGGGGGUUUAAUUUGCAUUUUUUACCACAACCAAACAGAUAUUUUCAUUGAGCUGUUCAUGCAGAAACCAUUUUACUGAGCUGUUCUGAUUUUGGUGUGCUAAAUUCACCCAUCUGGCAGAGCACUUUACUGCAAGACAGAACUCACAUACCUAUUAGCUGGGUCCUACUACAGGGGAUCCUACCGGGAUGCUCUGGUCAAGGCUACAGCUACCUGGUGUGUCAGGGGCAUCCUCCUUUACCACCACUGUUCUGGGAAGACUGGCUCAGAGUUAAGAGGCAGCUUAUCCCAGUGUCUUAUUCAGGUCCACAGCUGAUGAGGUUCACAUUAAAUCUACUGGCAAGAUAUAAACAACAAGAUUGAAUGCAGAAGGGCACAGUUAUGGAUGAAUAAAAGUAAAGGGAAUAAUAACCUGCUUUUCCUGGACCUGGCCCAGAAUUCACUAAAGGGAUUUCCAUGAGCAUUAGUAGGAUUUAAAUCAGCCCAUAAAUUUAUUGCAAAUUUUCUUCAGCUUUAUUAAAGUGGGGGAAAACAAAAACAAACCCACAACCUAAACCCCUAUAUGUUUAAGGUUGUUUCCCCUUUUUCUCAUAUAUUUAUUCUUUCUGCUCCUUCCUGGCACUGGGAAGACUAUAACCCACCUCUGAGAAGACCAUGAUCUGACAACUGCCCAUAACAUGAGAAGUGUGUUCCCCAGCCCGCAGCUUUGCUGGCCCUGAGCAACAACCAGCUCAGCUCUGCUCCACUUGAAGGCUCAUCACUAGUACUGGGCACUGGCAUAGCAGAAUUACAGAGUGAGGGAAUGUUCUUCCUAUCUUAUUGUCAUUUCCCCAAAUAUCAAUUAAAAAAAUGUCACAUUUCUGUACCCUGUG